UUCGUCUUUCUCAGUAGCGGUCAUUGAGGUGCGCGCGGCAUUUCACUUCGUUCCAUGUAACUUUGUGUGCUCACGUUGACAGUAUGAGCUCCGGGGACAGGCCUAGAGAAGGGUUUGGCUGCCGGUGGCCCUCCCCAUGUUGGUCUAGGAUGACCAUGACCGCGCGCAUCAAACAGGUUGUGAGCAAGAACAAGAAGCGAUACCAGGAUGAGGACUUUGACUUGGACUUAUCGUACAUUAGUGACAAUAUCAUUGCCAUGGGCUUCCCUGCUGAGAAGCUGGAAGGCGUCUUCCGCAACCACAUGGAUGAUGUUCAGAAGUUUCUUGAAAAGAAGCACAAAGGCCACUACAAGAUAUACAACCUGUGCUCUGAGCGGCAGUACGAUGCCAAGAAGUUUGAGAACAGAGUGGCACACUACCCAUUCAAGGACCACAACCCUCCGAAAAUUGACCUCAUCAAGCCUUUCUGCGAGGAUGUCGCAGAGUGGCUGUCCAAACACCCGGCCAAUGUUGCUGUCAUCCACUGCAAAGCGGGCAAGGGUCGAACGGGAGUGAUGGUGUGCUCAUACCUGGUACACAGCCGCAUGUUUGCCACUGCUGGGGAGGCUCUCUCUUAUUACAGUGAGCGCAGGACGAAAGACCUCAAGGGGGUGACAAUCCCAAGUCAGCGGCGGUAUGUGGAGUACUAUGCCAAGCUAGUCAGCACACGUGCAGAGUACAACCCAGAGACGCUGGUGCUGCACUCGCUCUCUCUUGAGCCCGUGCCUACCUUCAAUGGAGGAACCUGCUCGCCAUUCUUCCUGGUUUGGAAGAGUGAUGCCAGCAGCAUGGAGAAGUUGUACGUGUCUCCUGUGCUGGAGGGACGUAAAGGCAACUCCGCGUCGCUAUGCUUCCACCUAGGACGCACAGUGGCCCUCAAGGGCGACAUCAAAGUGGAGGUCUACAACAAGCCCAAAAUGAUGAAGAAGGAAAAGAUGUUCCAGUUCUGGUUCAACACCUUCUUUGUACCUCCAAGCUGCAAUAGUAGCAGUGGUGGCAGCAGUGUAGGGCGAGGUGACGCACACUCACACCCCAAUGGUGUCGCAUGGGGGAGGAGCAGCAGCACCUGCAGAGCUCAGGGUUCACAAUGGGGGAGAAGAGGAGGUGAGGACAUUAGUCCUGUGCAAGGACGACCUUGACAAGGCAUACAAGGACAAGACUCAUAGCAAAUUCAGUAAAGACUUCAAGGUGUCACUCAAAUUUGUAUCCCCAAGCCAUCUGUGCCCCUCGGGUGGUGGGGGUGAUGAUCCCAGCAGUGAUAUUGACGGGCCAGGCUCUGACAGUGACACUACAGACGACGAGGAUUGGGAUACACAGGAGGCGACCCACAUCUAGGUCGCCCACUGUGUCAUGGUCGGCUGCAGAAUGGGUGACCUUCAGGGACGUACGCCAGCCAUAGCUGUCACUCGUACGUGUGCCUGUGCGUGUAUGUGUGUGUAUAUGUGCGCAUGCGUGCAUUGCUGUUGGAACUGGGACAAUGCCUCGCCGCUCACUAACUCGGCUGUUGCGAAGAAGGGACAGCAGGCGGCCCACUUACCAGUGCACCGAGUGAUGACGCAACGAUAACGUUCCUACGGACGUUACUUGACUGCGACGUGAUUGGUUCGCCGUUUUCUGUGAAGUGGGAGGGGCUUCAGGACUGCUGCACGUGAGUCGCCGCUUUCACUGGGCGGUGUGAAGUGUCAUCUGCUAGCUACAUUUAAGGUGGUUGCUGGCCUUCGUAAAAUACGGCUGGGGAACUCUUGUUGACAAAUGUGCUUUGCGAACACUUUAUUUUUGGCUGCGUUUUCUGUUUAUAGCGCGAGUGUUUGUUGACCAGUUUUGUGAAAGAGGGUCGCAGUCGCACGGACAGUUUGUGUCGCGACCAGCCAGUCGGCUGUUUUGAUGUGCAAAGAGUUAAGCAGGGGCUUU
rnacentral:misc_RNA from 1 species